UCUCCGUUGGUGAACCAGCGGAGGGAUCAUUACAGGACUCGCAAGAUCCCUACAACCUUGUGAACUUAAUUAUAAGCACGUUGCCUCCGCGGGUGUCUCGGGGGGGGCUCCCGCUCCCCGACACGCUAAACCCGCCGGCAGCCUACUACACACUGACUCUUUGCGUUAGCACCUUCAACACCAGCUAACAUGUUUAUACCUUCAACAACGAAUCUCUCGGUUCUGGCAUCCACGCAUAACGCCUCAGAUCGGAAGACCACACCUCUUAAGCCCACUCCC
rnacentral:misc_RNA from 1 species